CAGGAUGGACCCGCGUCUGAUUAGCUAGUUGGUAAGGUAACGGCUUACCAAGGCGACGAUCAGUAGCCGACCUGAGAGGGUGAUCGGCCACAUUGGAACUGAGACACGGUCCAAACUCCUACGGGAGGCAGCAGUGGGGAAUAUUGCACAAUGGGCGAAAGCCUGAUGCAGCAACGCCGCGUGAGUGAUGAAGGCCUUCGGGUCGUAAAACUCUGUCCUCAAGGAAGAUAAUGACGGUACUUGAGGAGGAAGCCCCGGCUAACUACGUGCCAGCAGCCGCGGUAAUACGUAGGGGGCUAGCGUUAUCCGGAUUUACUGGGCGUAAAGGGUGCGUAGGCGGUCUUUCAAGUCAGGAGUGAAAGGCUACGGCUCAACCGUAGUAAGCUCUUGAAACUGGGAGACUUGAGUGCAGGAGAGGAGAGUGGAAUUCCUAGUGUAGCGGUGAAAUGCGUAGAUAUUAGGAGGAACACCAGUUGCGAAGGCGGCUCUCUGGACUGUAACUGACGCUGAGGCACGAAAGCGUGGGGAGCAAACAGGAUUAGAUACCCUGGUAGUCCACGCUGUAAACG
rnacentral:rRNA from 1 species